AAGAAUAGGCAUCACAAUGGGUUUCUGUUUUUUUCAGGAAAGCCAUCGCUUCCCUUGGGCAAAGGGCAUCUAGUUCCCAAUUAACCGAAGCAGCUUGCAUCAGCUCAGAAACUCUGACCCUAUCAAAUGAAAUCCUCUUGCUCUCUCCCAAUGAGAGACAGCCCUGCAAUGUGUCCUCCCAACAGAGCAUGCUCUACCCAGGAAGCAGUCAAGGUCUUCACAGCCUCUGGAAAAUGCAACCAACAUUGAUGAGACGUUCCCACAGAAGCACUGCUCAGGCAGCAUCCGGGAGUGGGUCGGAAGAGAGACUGUGGUGCUUUCGAAAAUGUGGUGUCUCGGUGUCUGCUGUUUCUGUUAAUCCUGAAGAUGCUCACCCGUGAGACUGAAUCAGAAGCCUGUCCCUGCCCUCACUCAGAGGAUGAGUCACACGGUGUGGGCGAGGUUUGGAGAUGGAAGCCAGCUCUGCUCUCUCCGUUGGUAACCAAGGCAAAGGCAUCUUGCUGAGAGAAUGCUUGCAAGUGCAUAGAAAGCUAAUCCCACGGUCAGGCCUGUGAAUGUUGGUUACCACUGUUGGCUAUCCUUUGCUUAAGUUUAAGUCACGGCAUCUUCAGAAUCACAUAGUUCCAAGAUACCAAGGUACUCUGUCUUCUGGUCCACAUUCCUUUGUCAUUGAACAAUUGCAUACACUGAACAGGCUUUGGGUAAAUGAGGGAAGGACAGGGGACCAAGAGAGAAUUUGAGUGCUUGGGAAAUAGCAUUGAACAGUAAGUCAGAAGGUGAGGAGGCCUCUAGAGGUGUACCUUUAAAUUCCAGAUUUGUGUUUCACUGUGUAGGUUUUGGCAGGUUGUCAAAGGCAUUUGAGUUUCCCUCAUUUCCAAUAUACCUUAAAGUGUCUCUUUCAUGGAAAACACCUAGCACAGAGUAUCCGGGUUGCUCUCAGUGAUUGGCAAGUGACAUCUUUUUCUACUAUGUUAAAUGCUCACCAGAAAAAAAAAUGUUCUGAAGGUCCUGUCUUAUCAGAUCAGAGCCAUGUGGGCAGAGAAGGGGUCAGAGAAGGACAGAAAGAGCAUGAGAGACUGUCCAAGAGCACAUGGGAACACACACACACACACACACACACACACACACACACAGAGAGAGAGAGAGAGAGAGAGAGAGAGUGAGAGAGAGAGAAAGAGAGAGAGGGAGAGAGAAAGAGAGAGAGAGAGAGAGAGACAGAGAGAGACAGAGAGAGAGAGAGAGAUGGGGUGGUGACCAGUCCUUUUCUGUGCUAGGUCACUUGCACCCGGAAGUGGCAGAUAAUGGUGGCAGGUGAUGACUUAAGCUGUUGCUAGGUCCCUGGGAGGAGCCUGGUGGAAUCACCUAGAAGCCAACAGUAACGACGACACAGACAUGGGUGUAUUAUCCUCUCUUUGUUCAGUGUAAACUUUAUUUGCUAUGUGCUUUAAGCACACGACUUUUAAGUGUUUGCAAUAAAGGUAUACGUUAAGUGUAUUGUUCUGAUUUGAUAGCUGCAGCACUAACAAAGAGAUGAAGGACUGUCUUCUAGGCUGCACAACUGGCAAACCGAAGUCCUGCAAUUCCAGGCGAGGAUUGCUGCACUUACUUGAGAGACUUUGUUCCUCCUUUGUACCUGCCACGCGCUCUGCUGGGCACAGUUGUGUCCCUGUAAUCAGCAUAGUGAAGACCAAUGGGGUAGUUUGGUCACCGUAGGAAAAAAAAAACAAACUCUUCGACGCCGAUUUCACAACUACUCAUGGAAUCCCACAAACUCUUCUUUGCUGCAGCUCAGAAUCUCUUCAACUGACCGAAUUAUUUCCGUCGAUGUGAAUUUCAAUGCCAUCCAAUAGCAACAAGAUUCAACUAAACAAAGGAUGAGCUGUCCUUAGGGUUUCCCAGAGGGGCUUCUGUCAUAACUUUUCAGUCAGAUGAAUCUGAAGAAUAAAAUUAUUACCAUCUGUCCAGUUCAGGUAGAGAGGAAACUUGUAUUUUAGGGAUGGGCUUUUCUUCUCGUGGGUCUCGUCAGGAGAUUAAAAAUAAAAGAUUCCCCUCCCCCAAAUUCCAUCACCAAGGACAGGUCAUAAUAUCAGGACAUGUCAGUCAGAGGUGAGUGAGAAGCAUAAACUGCUGAGAAGCAGAGACAGACCGAUAGCUCUAGAUGAGGCCAGAGACAGCAUGAGGAAGAGUGCAGACUAUACUAGGGAGAACAAAGGAGAAAAUGAUCGGGCCCAUCCGCGAUUUCGCGAAGCUCUUUGGAGAACUGAAAAUCACUGAGUCGAGUCCUGGACAGCGAGGAAUGUGCUUCCGAAGGACGAAUGACGCGGGAGAGGAGUGGAGUGUAAAAUGGCGUUCAAGUGCCUGUAUCAAAAGGAAGCAUCAGACAACUUGGAAAUCGAUCAAUAGUGUCAUUCAAGUGGAACACAGAACAGACAAUAACCGAAAGAGUAAAGUAGACCCAUUGCUGGGUGACAGAUUUUACUGAGGAGACAUGGUGCACGCGCUUACUCGUCCCAUGUGGGAACCCGAGGCAGACCACAGUAGCACUUGCACCAGUGUUCUACUUGGUGAGCCAGGAUGUUCUCAUUAGAGUUAUCAACAGACGUGUGGUGAGCGGUUACUGACAACAAAUAGGACCAACUCAAAUGUAGCUGUCUGAUCCGAGGGCCCGCAGCAACAGAGCAAGCUGCUCCUCAGGAAGGCUGCGACCCUGGAGCAAUCGGGAUAGCUUGCAGGCCACCGCCCAAACCUCUCCUCUGCAGCAAUGCAUCUCUACCCAGCAACUGUUUGCUCCUUUUAUAAAACUGGGAGAGACUUUCCAGAGGAUCUUCCAAGUUGUUCUUUUCCUAGACGUGUGACCUUUUCUUUACCUCCCAAGUCUCCGGAGCCUCUUCCUUUCUCCUGGAGGGAAGGUUUCAGUUCAGAGGAAAUUGCCUGACAGCUCCUGUAUGUGCCCCUUUCCACUGCUAACGCAGCCUCUGCUUCUUCCAAACCCACAGAGCAGAGGUCAUGAUGGCAUUGCGUCUGUGGAGUUAGUGCCAGAUUCCACGGAUUCAAGAGUUAUCCCAUUUCUCCCCAUUUCUCUUGGGAUUCCAAGGCUACCCAUACUUCCCAGUUAACUACAAACGUGGGGGUUCCCAAACGCUUCUCCACAGGUUCGUUAGUGGUCUGCUGUAGAGGAUACAGCUUGGGGCCUUCUGAAUGGUAGGACCUAAAGAACAAGAUAGAAAGGGCUGUAGGUAGGGCCCGGUAUAAGGCUGCUCUGUAGCCCAUGAGUUGCUCACCAGUGAGAUGUUCUAUGACCCUUGUGUUCAUCAAAGGCUCAUUAUGCAGGCAUGAUUAAGUCAUUGGCUAUGGUGGCUGAACUCUUUCUCCAGCCUUUUUCCACUCCUCGGGGAAGGUUAAGGUUACUGAAACUUUCAACCUGUUAGUCAAGGGGUUGGUUCUACAGAUGACCGGCUCUCAUCCUGAAUCUAUUUAGCUCCAAUUCUCUUCUUGCGUCCACAUUGUUGUAAAUGUGGUGCUCUGCCAGCCUGACUUUCAGCAACUCAACAGCAGCAGCACCAGGGGUGGCACUGGUUUCCACUGUCACUAUGAGGUAAGACAGGAGAUUGAUCAUCAGUCAAAUCCACGGAUCUGUGAGGAAAAAUCUGUAAACACCUGUAAACAUCUGUCAACAUCCGGAACACUGCCCAGGACUGUGUGGAUGUUUGAUUAAGCUUCUGUUCGCUCACUUUUGAGCUAUUAAGAGUUCUGUUAUUAAGGUUCUAUUUAUAAGGUCAAAUGCAUUCAGUUGAUCAAAGCCCCCAGGAUUACCACUGGCAUUGUUAGAGCUCAGGUCACUUUCUGGUUCAAAUGCUGGAUAUUUUAUUUCAUUUCUGCCUCUGUGGGUGAGUGCUGAGGGAGUAAAUCUCUCUGCCGAGCAGAGAGAUGCUAUGCAGGGUCCAUGGUUGCUGUUCUUUUUCCUCACGCCUCCAGCAUUCACAUACCCGUGAUUGACGAUCAUUGUUUUACGGUUUUUAAAAUUCCUAUCCAGAGACUUCAGAUUAAUAAUUUCUAUCAGAUGAUUUCCGCUAGUCACUUUACAACACACCAGGAUAUAUGACCGGUAGGUACAAGGAAGUAUUUAUUUGAUUAAAAUCCUUUCGCUUAAUUUUCUGGUUGCCAGUAGCAACCCACAAAAGAUAGAUCUAAAACGACAAGUCGGUGCCACGAAGAUUGCCAGCCAUGUUUUAUUCUUUCCUGAGUUGUGGUUUUAAAAUAGCCUUCCCAGUGCUGAUAGCAAUAAAAACAAUUGCUGUGUAUUCUGCCUUAGACAUAUCGACAAACCAUCUCAUAAACAGCCUGGGCUACUAAUGAACUUUUCCCUGAGGCUUUUAGAUGCAGCCUCAGGCCCCAUAGACUGAAGCUAUGUCCAUAGCUAUAGGGACAAUGACAGUGUUUGUACUAUAAAAAAUAUUUUCUAAUUUCUAUAAACUAAUGCAUGAGAUCAGUGUGAAACACAGAGUAGCAGAAAUAUUUGCAUCUUUUUGAAAACUACCGUCAUUUAAUAAACAAUGUAUAUCACCUCUUUAAGAAU
rnacentral:lncRNA from 1 species